UGAGCUUGAAUCCUGGCUCAGGACGAACGCUGGCGGCGUGCCUAAUACAUGCAAGUCGAGCGAAUGGAGGGGAGCUUGCUCCCUGAAGUUAGCGGCGGACGGGUGAGUAACACGUGGGCAACCUGCCCUGUAGACUGGGAUAACAUCGAGAAAUCGGUGCUAAUACCGGAUAAUCAAAGGAAUCACAUGGUUCUUUUGUAAAAGAUGGCUUCGGCUAUCACUAUAGGAUGGGCCCGCGGUGCAUUAGCUAGUUGGUGAGGUAGAGGCUCACCAAGGCAACGAUGCAUAGCCGACCUGAGAGGGUGAUCGGCCACACUGGGACUGAGACACGGCCCAGACUCCUACGGGAGGCAGCAGUAGGGAAUCUUCCGCAAUGGACGAAAGUCUGACGGAGCAACGCCGCGUGAGUGAUGAAGGUUUUCGGAUCGUAAAGCUCUGUUGUUAGGGAAGAACAAGUACCGUUCGAAUAGGGCGGUACCUUGACGGUACCUAACCAGAAAGCCACGGCUAACUACGUGCCAGCAGCCGCUAGUAGUCGUACUGC
rnacentral:rRNA from 1 species